rnacentral:lncRNA from 1 species
UACUACAAAGAUAACCAUUGAAAAUUUUUUGAAAAAAUAUUUCUGUAUAAUUACAACAGUUACGGCUUUUGGCGGGAUAUAUUUAUGAUGGCAAAAUUGACAUUUCACUUAUCUGUUGUUAAAAAAUAGGGGUAAUUGCAUACAGCUUCCUGUAAACAUAACGAAUUACAAAUAUAUCCCUAUAAAGUUUAAUUCUUUCAUGUUAUCUUUAUAAAAGUCCAGUAAUAUUCAUAUUUGUCCAUCUACUUUGUUACCGUUAGAGAACUAUUUAUUUUUUAAUAGCAGAUAAGUAAAAUGUCAAUUUUGCCAUAGCAAAUAUGUCCUUCUAAAAGCUCAACUGCUAAAAUCGUACAGAAAUAUCCAACCAAAAUAUUUUUAAUAGUCAUCUUCUUCCUUAUCUUCUUCCUCUUUAAAACCAACCAAUCCACUAUUGUUGUAAUAUUUUUUCCUAAACCUUUUCUUUUGAACAAAAUAAAAAAAAAUUACAAAGAAAAUUGAAUGAGGAAGCAACAUGUGUUCAACAUGGGUGAAACAACACGCGUCAUGGAUGAAUGGGGACGGAGAAAUUCUAGUUACAGGUUUAAAACUAGCACAAAGAAAAGAGAGGAAGAGACAGAGGAAGAGAAAGAAGAAGAAGAGUUUCCAUUACUAGAAUUUUGAUUGAGAGAAAAAGGUAUAAUAUAAGAGGGAUAAAAAUAUCAAUCUACCUUAUUAACUAAUCAUGGCUAAGGGGGUGUUCGGAUCCU